AUUGAACGCUGGCGGAAUGCUUUACACAUGCAAGUCGAACGGCAGCACGGGGGCAGCCCUGGUGGCGAGUGGCGAACGGGUGAGUAAUACAUCGGAACGUGCCCGGUCGUGGGGGAUAACGUAGCGAAAGUUACGCUAAUACCGCAUACGAUCUGAGGAUGAAAGCGGGGGACCUUCGGGCCUCGCGCGAUCGGAGCGGCCGAUGUCAGAUUAGGUAGUUGGUGGGGUAAAGGCCUACCAAGCCGACGAUCUGUAGCUGGUCUGAGAGGACGACCAGCCACACUGGGUCUGAGACACGGCCCAGACUCCUACGGGAGGCAGCAGUGGGGAAUUUUGGACAAUGGGCGCAAGCCUGAUCCAGCCAUUCCGCGUGCAGGACGAAGGCCUUCGGGUUGUAAACUGCUUUUGUACGGAACGAAAAGGCUCUGGCUAAUACCUGGGGCUCAUGACGGUACCGUAAGAAUAAGCACCGGCUAACUACGUG
rnacentral:rRNA from 1 species